rnacentral:rRNA from 1 species
UACGUAGGUGGCAAGCGUUGUCCGGAAUUAUUGGGCGUAAAGAGCUCGUAGGCGGUUUGUCGCGUCUGCCGUGAAAGUCCGGGGCUCAACUCCGGAUCUGCGGUGGGUACGGGCAGACUAGAGUGAUGUAGGGGAGACUGGAAUUCCUGGUGUAGCGGUGAAAUGCGCAGAUAUCAGGAGGAACACCCGUGGCGAAGGCGGCUCUCUGGGACGGUACUGACGCUGAGACGCGAAAGCGUGGGGAGCGAACAGG